GCCGCGGUGGCGGAACUGGUAGACGCGCUGGAUUUAGGAUCCAGUGUCCCUAUGGACGUGCGAGUUCGAGUCUCGCCCGCGGCA
rnacentral:tRNA from 1 species